GAUGAACGCUGGCGGCGUGCCUAAUACAUGCAAGUCGAGCGAACAGACGAGGAGCUUGCUCCUCUGACGUUAGCGGCGGACGGGUGAGUAACACGUGGAUAACCUACCUAUAAGACUGGGAUAACUUCGGGAAACCGGAGCUAAUACCGGAUAAUAUAUUGAACCGCAUGGUUCAAUAGUGAGAGACGGUUUUGCUGUCACUUAUAGAUGGAUCCGCGCCGCAUUAGCUAGUUGGUAAGGUAACGGCUUACCAAGGCAACGAUGCGUAGCCGACCUGAGAGGGUGAUCGGCCACACUGGAACUGAGACACGGUCCAGACUCCUACGGGAGGCAGCAGUAGGGAAUCUUCCGCAAAGGGCGAAAGCCUGACGGAGCAACGCCGCGUGAGUGAUGAAGGUCUUCGGAUCGUAAAACUCUGUUAUUAGGGAAGAACAAAUGUGUAAGUAACUAUGCACGUCUUGACGGUACCUAAUCAGAAAGCCACGGCUAACUACGUG
rnacentral:rRNA from 1 species